CGGCGCCGGCGGGCGGGGCUGGACGCCUUCUGCGGUCGGCGCGGGAAAGGGGCGCCGGAGUGGACGCGCUCUGACCCCGGGCGUGGGUUGCAGGUUGUGCUCCCGGCCCACUCCCCAGCCUUGCAGCAUCCGCUGCCUCCGGGAAGGCGGGCCGAAUCUCGCCAGGUUGGUAGCUUGCGGAUGGGAGCUCGACCGACCCUCAUCCCCGGCCGACUCCUGGCGCCGGAGCGGACAGGACUGCGAGGAUGUGGAGAUUAUAUUUCGGGGACGGCGAGUGAAUCUGCGUUCUCGUCACCACCCAAGAAGGGACUGGGGACCCGUUCUGAGGGGCGAGGGCUCCUGAGGUCUGUCCCUAGUGUUUUCCUUGAAGUGUUUCCUGGUCACCAGUGACGGUGAUAGUUUCUUGAUGGACUCCCUUUACGACUGGAGGAGCAUCAUCUCCUCCCCAUUAUGCACCCUAGCAAAGAAAACACUGUGUGACAUCUUGAAGUAGCCUGGCAUCUAUCUGUCACUUGAAUGAUUGUGAAACUUCGGGAAGAUUUGGAAGCGACUGUUGAUGCUAAACCGAUACCAGGUACCAAAAAUAAAUAAAUAAUAAAUAAUAAAUAAAAUUCAUUCAAAGCUUGAAAGAGACACAUCAAGUAAGUUUCCCUGUUUAAUUUCGCUUUGUCUUGAAGACAUGACUUUUUAUCCAAAAACUGAGGUGCUUUAAGCAGCUGUGUUAUCGUUUGUAGGUUACACAACACCCAGUGUCCUGUAAUUUACACUUUAUGUAAUGUAAAAAAAAAAAAAAAAGUUAAUCUCAAGAUAAAAAGAACUUAAUAGGGAGGCAGAAACACAGUUUAUAAAAACAAGAAGCACAUGAACUGUCAAAUCUGAUGCUAAUUAUAAGGCAGUCACAAGUGAGUAUAUAUGAAAUAUAGUUCACAGUGUAUUUUGUUGUAGUAUCUUCCUAGGUUAAAAGAGAGCUCUGACCCCAGAAAUGGGUUGCGAGUUAUGCUGCCCAUGGACACCCUAGCCUUCCAUCAUCAGCUGCCAUCUGUCAUUGAAGGGAUGUUUUUGUAUUAAAAGAUCGUUACAGAAAUUGAGCUGACCUAACUUUAUGACUGUUCACGAAUUCGUAUUUACUAAGGAGUGGUCUAUUUAGAGCAGAAUUUAACUCCAAAAAAGAUUUUUUUCAUUUUAUUAUUUAGAAGAGAGUUCACUGUGAGUUCUGUUCUGUUAAGGCCUAUAUUAGUUUGGUACAACUGCUGCCACAAAUACCCAAAACUACAUGUCUUCAAAUAAGUAAAAUGUGUUGCCUCACAAUUCUGGAGAAACAAGUCCAAAAUCAAAGUGUUAGCAGAAGUAUGGAGGUCCACAAAAAGGCUCACACCAGCCUGAGUUCUUCCUAACUCACUUGAGAGUGCUUGGGGAUGUCUUCCUGUCCAAAGAACUGCUGACUGCAGAUGAAGGCGGAGGAAGACGACUCAUCAACUCCAACUCUUAAUUCCAGAAAACCCCC
rnacentral:lncRNA from 1 species